UACGGAGGGUGCAAACGUUGCUCGGAAUUAUUGGGCGUAAAGCGCACGUAGGCGGCCGACUAAGUCGGGUGUGAAAGCCCAGGGCUCAACCCUGGAAGUGCACUCGAAACUGGCCGGCUUGAAUAUGGAAGAGGGUCGCGGAAUUCCCGGUGUAGAGGUGAAAUUCGUAGAUAUCGGGAGGAACACCAGUGGCGAAGGCGACCUCCUGGCCUGUUCUUGACGCUGAGGCGCGAAAGCUAGGGUAGCAAACGGG
rnacentral:rRNA from 1 species